rnacentral:lncRNA from 1 species
GGCUUUUUCUAGGGCUGGCUCUGUUUUCUUUAGCCUAUCGCCUGCUUAAAUCGGGGCCAGGAAGUGGCAGGUGAGGAGGCAGCCCCAGGAAAUAGUCCAGGAGGAUUCGUGGGGAGGGGCGUGCUUUUCCCCUCGAUCAGCAAGCACCGAGUCCCUUUCAACACCCAGAAAUAGACGCCACUGAGCUCUCUCUCCUCUGACCAUAAAAAGCAGCUGGCCCUGUAGGGAAGGCUGGCGGCUGCAAGCUCCAGGAGGCAGGAGCAGGAAUAAAGGCUGCCUGAGGAGCUUGGGAGUCCUGCUGCUGGCUCGAUGCUGGAGCCAUUCAGUCUCCUGGGCAAGAAACCCACCAGCUGAACACAGGCCGAGUCUCGCAAACAGUCCUGCGGCCACGGGGGCUCGGGCCACUCCUCGUUUCUGAGCUGCGCCCUGUGACUAUUUACUAAAACUCGCCAGGCCGCUGCUGCUCUGUGAUGACCUCGAACCCGAACUUCAGCCCGAACCCGAACCCGCGUCACACUGCAGGCAGCCACUUCUGUGACGCAGUUCUAGCUCUUUGCACCGGGUUUUGCGUGCUCGUCUGACAUGCGUUCGGGGAAACUGAGCAUCCGGGAGCCGGUGUAAGCCGUGACCGCAGCCUGAGGAGCCGGGCCCUCCUGCGGGGGUUGAAUGCCGGGUCCCUGGCACGCGGAGGAGAGGCGGUGGGAGGCGGGGCGCGGCCGGAGCGCUGCACGCCGCUGGCCUCUGCCCCGCAGGCCUGGCCGAGGAGCGGAGGCGCCCGGCUGGGCCCCACAGACACCGGGACUGUGGCCAUCAGGCCAGGGCCAGGGACUCCGUCUGCACCCGGCCUCUAGGGCCCUCACUCCCACAGCGCCCCCCAGCGGCACAGGGCCUCCUGGACGGAACUGAAAGUCUGAAAGUCCUGCCGGGCGACGCUCUGUUUGCACGUUUCGUCCACGUCUGCAGUGCAUCGUGACUGCGCUCCUCCCGUGGCGAAGGGACUGAAUGUUCCCAGGAGAAAUGGAGUUCUCUCCAACUGUUACUCAUGAAGAGGGCUGAUCCACCAAAGAACAAAUUCUUGGGAGAACUCAUACAAAUUUUUUUUCUACAUAAUUCUGUCAAACUCCGCAAGGGCAGCCAUUGGUGUAAUCAGCAAAAAGCCAUCCUGCAGCUGGAAAAAAAUUACAUCUUUGAAUAAGAAGGACAAUGAAGGGGGUGAGGAAAUUCCAAGAUCAUCUCUUGGUAGAAAAGAGGAACACGUAGCCCUCCCUACCUGGACUUCUGCCUGGACCUCUGCUGUAAGCUUCAGUGCUGUACAGGGUGAUUGCACCUUCUUAAUUUUCCAGAGUCUCUGAAAGAGAAAGGAAGCCAAUCUUGCCCUCCAGGAAAUGGGGGACAAUGUUGACUGUCACCACUUUGUACAGCUAUUGCUUGUUUAACAACUGUUAUGGCUUGCAUUUAGAUGUCCCCCAAAGCCUCACGUGGUCAUAGGUGGGGCUUUUUCAGAGGUGGCUAAAUCUAGACUGUGCAAUGCUGGAAUUGAUUCAUGAUGCAAUGCUAAGAUGAAGGGCACUAGGAUUAAAGGUGUGAGUGCUACCCACCCUAAGUAGCUGAAUAAGAUGUAAGGGAUAGAAAGAACUGUUGUUGUCCCUUGUUGCUUUUGCUACCUUCUGCCCCAUCAUGAACUCUUUCUCUUCUAUGAUGCCUGUCUGCCUUGCCAGCCUGCCUUGGAGCCAGAUGCUUAUAGACUAAAAUCUGCAGAAACUGUGAGCUAAAUAAACUUUUCCUCCCUUAACUUGUGAAUAUUGGGUAUUUUGUCUCAACAAGAAAAGUAACUAAUACAGAAUUUGGUACCAGGAGUGAGGUUGUUGCUGUGACUAUACCUGACCAUAUGGUUCAGGAGUUUGACAAGAGUUUGUAAAGGUUCAGCGAUACUGGCUAAAAAGGUAGAGCUGGAACACCUUAGGUUAUACUUGAUGGAAGAUUCUGGUCAGAGCUCAAAAGACCAAAAGGCUGAUAGAAAUCCUUCUAGUAAGGAAGGAUAGGAAUCCUUCCAGUAAAGACCAGGAUUGAGAUAUUUCUGCUGGAAAGAAACACCUCAUUAGCUGUUAGAUUCCAGACAAUAUGUGUUACACUUUCAUAGAAAGUUUGUCUACAUUUUGCUCAUGUCCAGAGACUUUGCCUAAGACUAAGAUUAAGGGUGGCAGACUAAUGAAUCUUCCAGAAAAAAUUUUGAGGAAGUCUAAUGUUGAGUCCAUGACAUAGCUUCUGUUGGGGGCUUCUAGCCAGAUCUAUGUUGAGAAUCAAGACCAAAGGGGCCAACAGAAUGACUUAAAACAUUGUAAGUUUGGCCAAAAAAAAUAAAAAUCAAUGGUCUGUGGACUGCAAAGAUAGAGCAGAAGAGAUCUUACUUGCAGCAAAAAAAAAAAAAAAAAAACAAAAACCCAAAAAACAAAAGAAUUAAAAAGAUGGUCUAAGGACAUCACAUGAAACAGCAGGACUCCAGCCUUUACAGUCUUAAAAUUGCAAAAGUAAAAGACUUUGCUUUAAAAAGAGAGCCCAGACCAUGUUCCAGAAUGGCAGUGGCCUAGGAAAGCUUUAUUUUCAGGAUUUGGUUCAGAGGCACUGGACCCCUACAGCCAAGAGAGAAGGAAGCCCGGCUACUGCUCCAGCUGGUGGCAGACCUUGGCAUCAUCCACGUGGUGCUGGUUUUAGGCACAUGCAGAUUGUGGGAGUUGUGGUGUCAGGAAGGCUUCCACCCAGAUUUCAGAAGAAGGCCUGGGAGGCAAGGCUGUGUGCCCCUGAGAGGGCAAGGGAAACAAUGCAAAAGAGAUCCCAAAAGUUGAGAGAAGCCAAGAACAUGGAUUGUCUGAGGAAAACUAUAGAGAGAGCAGAGCUGGCCCCAGAGAGAAGCCAUAUCAGCUACAGCAAGUGGCAGUGCUGUACAGACAGAGCCACCCAAGCCCUUUGGAGUUCACAACUUGCAAAUUGCAGAGCAUGCUGAAAGUGAAACUGUGAGAUUUGAUGUUUGCCCUGCGAGAUUUGGGUCUUGCUUUGUUAUCAUUCCUUGCUGUCCUUCUGUUUGUAACUUUAAAAAUAGAAGUGUCUAUCUUGUGCCAUCAAAUGUUAAAAGUGUUUAACUUUCUUUUCAUUUGUACAGGGGCUUGCAGCUAAGAGUUUGCCUUAAAUCUCAGAGGAGACUUGGGUCUUGGACUUUUCAGCAGUGCUGAAACUGUCAGGAUUUUGUCACCUCUUAGAGACGGACUCCAUGCCUUUUGCAUAAAGAGAUGUGCAUGAGUCUAGGGGGAGGGGCCAGGGGAUGAAUGCUUUGGCUUCUGUCUAGAUGUCCGCCUAAAGGCUCAUGUGGUCAUACGUGAUGGUUUUUUGGAGGUGGCUAGAUCUAGUGUGUGUGACUCUGGAAUUGAUGCAGUGCUUGGCUCGAGGCCAUUAGGAUUAAGGGUGUGAGUGCUGCCUGCCCUAAGUAGCCUGGAUAAGAAAGAGCUGUGGUUGUCCCUUGUUGCUUUGGUGCCUUUGCUCACCAUGAACUGUUUCUCCUCUGUGAUACCUGCCUGCCAUGCCACCCUGCUUUGGACCCAGCCUAAAACCUCUACAAACUGUGAGCUACAUAAACCCUUUUUCCCUUAACUUGUGGGUGUUGGGUAUUUUGUCUCAACAAUGGAAAAAUGUAACUAAGACAAUGACCUACCGUUUUAAUGACUGUUCAGGCUUAUGACCCUCCACUUGGACUUACACCCAAAUUCAGACUUACAACAAAAGAAUGCAAGCAGCAGUGCAGCCUUAUGGUGGCUCCUUCUACAGUGCUGUGAUUUUUGCUGAUUGUACUGUACUGUAGUUUUACGUUCUGUUAUACAUUACAGUAGCAUGUAAGAGUUAUGCAAAUAAAAGCAAAGUCAUCCAGUUGGAGUUUCUUUUGACCAUUUCUUUGUUCAGAAAAGUGUAAUGUGCAUACUGUAUACAAUUCCUCAUUUAGGGACCAAGUCGUUUAAUGACCCAGUUGCAGAAGCACAGCUAUGUCAUUAAGCAAGGAAUGUCCAUGACUCCUGUCAGCGACCUCUAAUGAAGAGACCAGUAAUGUUCCUGAGUAUCCCACAACACAACAAAGAGGUAUGCAGUUAAAAAAAAAAAUUGUCAAUAAGGCCAAGUUGAAAAACCCUGCAUUGAAACCAUAAAUAGCUAAUACAUUUUAGAUAUAUUCUGGAAACUGCCAUUGAAAAGUGAUUAUAGAUUUGAGAGUUUUCAAGGAGUAUCUUUUAGUCUAUAGUAAACUCAGGAUACAAUUAAAAAUAUCUCUUUAGAUGAAAACGAGAAACACCUUUACUGUCCAAAUUCUUUGGACAGUCAUCCAUAAUUUACUGAUCUGUGAGUAGGUUUAGAAAUUCUGGUGGAACUUAGGAAAAACAAACCUGUCCCCUCAGCUUUAAUAGUGUGAUCCAUGUGUUGUGGUCACAGCAUUCUGAGGGGUGAGUAUGGAACAUUUGUGCUCCCACAGGGACUGUUCCCUCACUGCCUCAGUAGCAGCUCCUUUUAGGCAAGUGUUCCAGCUUCACUAAUUUUUGAAGUUUUUGGUAAUGUUUUAUUUUUUAUUAGUCCACGUUUGCAGAACAUUAAUGACCACAUUCCUCCCGGGAAAUCGGUGCAUGCACACGAUACAGCUUAAGUCUUUUUUCACCGCAUUCUCUCCUCCCUCCCUGCCUCUUUCUCCUCCCUUCAUCACUCCAUCCCCUUUCUCUUAGAGAAGGACCUGUCUCCCUACUUCCUGUUAUCUAUCUUUUAUUUUCUCUUUGGGUUUCUCAUAUAAAAGAAACCAUGCCACAUUAAAGCUUGUGGGCCUGAUUUACUUCACUUAACAUCAUGGUCUCGAGGUGCAUC